AUGGAUUCUAUCUUGGCGAAUGAAACUUGGGAGAUAACUGAUCGUCCUUAUGGGUGCAAACGUAUAGGAUGCAAAUGGGUAUUCAAGAAGAAGCUUAGGCCUGAUGGUACUAUUGAAAAGUACAAGGCUCGGCUCGUGGCUAAGGGUUAUACCCAAAAGGAAGGUGAAGACUUCUUUGAUACUUACUCACCUGUGGCUCGACUGACCACUAUUCGAGUCCUACUUUCACUAGCUGCCUCACAUGGUCUUCUCGUUCAUCAAAUGGAUGUUAAGACUGCUUUCCUAAAUGGAGAGUUGGAUGAGGAAAUUUAUAUGGAACAACCAGAUGGGUUUGUAAUAGAUGGUCAGGAAGGGAAAGUGUGCAAGUUGCUGAAGUCUUUGUAUGGACUCAAGCAAGCACCCAAACAGUGGCAUGAGAAGUUCGAAAGAACUUUAACAGCCGCAGGCUUUGUUGUAAAUGAAGCUGACAAAUGUGUGUACUAUCGCCAUGGUGGGGGCGAGGGAGUUAUGCUUUGCUUGUAUGUUGAUGACAUACUGAUUUUCGGAACAAAUCUGAAUGUUAUUAAGGAGGUUAAGGAUUUCCUAUCUCGUUGUUUUGAGAUGAAGGAUUUAGGAGUGGCUGAUGUCAUUCUGAACAUCAAGUUGUUGAGAGACGAUGAUGGUGGGAUUACAUUGCUUCAAUCUCACUAUGUGGAAAAGAUCUUGAGUCGCUUUGGCUAUAGUGACUGCAAGCCCUCUCCAACACCAUAUGAUGCUAGCGUGCUGCUUCGAAAGAAUCGAAGAAUUGCUAGAGAUCAAUUGAAGUAUUCUCAGAUUAUUGGCUCGCUUAUGUACUUAGCCAGUGCUACAAGACCUGACAUCUCUUUUGCUGUUAGCAAGCUGAGCCGGUUUGUCUCAAAACCGGGAGAUGUGCAUUGGAAAGCUCUAGAGAGAGUUUUGCGUUAUUUGAAAGGCACUGUAAAUUAUGGAAUUCACUACACUGGGCACCCAAAGGUGCUUGAAGGGUAUAGUGACUCAAACUGGAUCUCAGAUGCUGAUGAGAUAAAGGCCACUGUAAUCACAAAAGUGAGCAGCUCAAAGGAUAACAUGAAGUCAUCAAGACACGUUCAGAGAAGGUUAAAGUCUGUCAGGAAAAUGAAAAACUCCGGAGUUAUUGCGUUGGAUUAUAUCCAAACGUCUAAAAAUCUGGCAGAUCCUUUCACUAAGGGUCUAUCGCGUAAUGUUGAUGUAUAUCUUAAUGUGUUCUAA
rnacentral:rRNA from 1 species